UUAAGCGACUAAGCGUACACGGUGGAUGCCCUGGCAGUCAGAGGCGAUGAAGGACGUGCUAAUCUGCGAAAAGCGUCGGUAAGGUGAUAUGAACCGUUAUAGCCGGCGAUGUCCGAAUGGGGAAACCCAGUGCAAUUCGUUGCACUAUCGUUAACUGAAUACAUAGGUUAACGAGGCGAACCGGGGGAACUGAAACAUCUAAGUACCCCGAGGAAAAGAAAUCAACCGAGAUUCCCCCAGUAGCGGCGAGCGAACGGGGAGCAGCCCGGAGUCUGAAUCAGCUUGUGUGUUAGUGGAAGCGUCUGGAAAGUCGCAGGGUACAGGGUGAUACUCCCGUACACUAAAACGCACAGGUUGUGAACUCGAAGAGUAGGGCGGGACACGUGGUAUCCUGUCUGAAUAUGGGGGGACCAUCCUCCAAGGCUAAAUACUCCUGACUGACCGAUAGUGAACCAGUACCGUGAGGGAAAGGCGAAAAGAACCCCGGCGAGGGGAGUGAAAAAGAACCUGAAACCGUGUACGUACAAGCAGUAGGAGCCCACUUGUUGGGUGACUGCGUACCUUUUGUAUAAUGGGUCAGCGACUUAUAUUCUGUAGCAAGGUUAACCGUAUAGGGGAGCCGCAGGGAAACCGAGUCUUAACUGGGCGUUAAGUUGCAGGGUAUAGACCCGAAACCCGGUGAUCUAGCCAUGGGCAGGUUGAAGGUUGGGUAACACUAACUGGAGGACCGAACCGACUAAUGUUGAAAAAUUAGCGGAUGACUUGUGGCUGGGGGUGAAAGGCCAAUCAAACCGGGAGAUAGCUGGUUCUCCCCGAAAGCUAUUUAGGUAGCGCCUCGUGAACUCAUCUUCGGGGGUAGAGCACUGUUUCGGCUAGGGGGUCAUCCCGACUUACCAACCCGAUGCAAACUACGAAUACCGAAGAAUGUUAUCACGGGAGACACACGGCGGGUGCUAACGUCCGUCGUGAAGAGGGAAACAACCCAGACCGCCAGCUAAGGUCCCAAAGUCAUGGUUAAGUGGGAAACGAUGUGGGAAGGCCCAGACAGCCAGGAUGUUGGCUUAGAAGCAGCCAUCAUUUAAAGAAAGCGUAAUAGCUCACUGGUCGAGUCGGCCUGCGCGGAAGAUGUAACGGGGCUAAACCAUGCACCGAAGCUGCGGCAGCGACACUAUGUGUUGUUGGGUAGGGGAGCGUUCUGUAAGCCGUUGAAGGUGGCCUGUGAGGGUUGCUGGAGGUAUCAGAAGUGCGAAUGCUGACAUAAGUAACGAUAAUGCGGGUGAAAAACCCGCACGCCGGAAGACCAAGGGUUCCUGUCCAACGUUAAUCGGGGCAGGGUGAGUCGACCCCUAAGGCGAGGCCGAAAGGCGUAGUCGAUGGGAAACAGGUUAAUAUUCCUGUACUCGGUGUUACUGCGAAGGGGGGACGGAGAAGGCUAUGUUGGCCGGGCGACGGUUGUCCCGGUUUAAGCAUGUAGGCGGAUGUUCCAGGUAAAUCCGGAACGUCACUAACGCUGAGGUGUGAUGACGAGGCACUACGGUGCUGAAGUGACAAAUGCCCUGCUUCCAGGAAAAGCCUCUAAGCAUCAGGUAACAUCAAAUCGUACCCCAAACCGACACAGGUGGUCAGGUAGAGAAUACCAAGGCGCUUGAGAGAACUCGGGUGAAGGAACUAGGCAAAAUGGUGCCGUAACUUCGGGAGAAGGCACGCUGAUGGUAAGUGAAGUGACUUGCUCAUGGAGCUGAAAUCAGUCGAAGAUACCAGCUGGCUGCAACUGUUUAUUAAAAACACAGCACUGUGCAAACACGAAAGUGGACGUAUACGGUGUGACGCCUGCCCGGUGCCGGAAGGUUAAUUGAUGGGGUUAUCCGUAAGGAGAAGCUCUUGAUCGAAGCCCCGGUAAACGGCGGCCGUAACUAUAACGGUCCUAAGGUAGCGAAAUUCCUUGUCGGGUAAGUUCCGACCUGCACGAAUGGCGUAAUGAUGGCCAGGCUGUCUCCACCCGAGACUCAGUGAAAUUGAACUCGCUGUGAAGAUGCAGUGUACCCGCGGCAAGACGGAAAGACCCCGUGAACCUUUACUAUAGCUUGACACUGAACACUGGUCCUUGAUGUGUAGGAUAGGUGGGAGGCUUUGAAGUGUGGACGCCAGUCUGCAUGGAGCCAUCCUUGAAAUACCACCCUUUAAUGGCUGGUGUUCUAACGUGGGCCCCUAAUCGGGGUUGCGGACAGUGUCUGGUGGGUAGUUUGACUGGGGCGGUCUCCUCCUAAAGAGUAACGGAGGAGCACGAAGGUCAGCUAAUCCUGGUCGGACAUCAGGAGGUUAGUGCAAUGGCAUAAGCUGGCUUGACUGCGAGCGUGACGGCGCGAGCAGGUGCGAAAGCAGGUCAUAGUGAUCCGGUGGUUCUGAAUGGAAGGGCCAUCGCUCAACGGAUAAAAGGUACUCCGGGGAUAACAGGCUGAUACCGCCCAAGAGUUCAUAUCGACGGCGGUGUUUGGCACCUCGAUGUCGGCUCAUCACAUCCUGGGGCUGAAGUAGGUCCCAAGGGUAUGGCUGUUCGCCAUUUAAAGUGGUACGCGAGCUGGGUUUAGAACGUCGUGAGACAGUUCGGUCCCUAUCUGCCGUGGGCGCUGGAGAAUUGAGGGGGGCUGCUCCUAGUACGAGAGGACCGGAGUGGACGCAUCACUGGUGUUCGGGUUGUCAUGCCAAUGGCAUUGCCCGGUAGCUAAAUGCGGAAGAGAUAAGUGCUGAAAGCAUCUAAGCACGAAACUUGCCCCGAGAUGAGUUCUCCCUGACUCCUUGAGAGUCCUGAAGGAACGUUGAAGACGACGACGUUGAUAGGCCGGGUGUGUAAGCGCAGCGAUGCGUUGAGCUAACCGGUACUAAUGAACCGUGAGGCUUAACCU
rnacentral:rRNA from 1 species